CCCCUCUGAGGAUGGCACCUGGAGAGUUUCCAGUACUUUACCAGCCUCGGCUACAGGAGGGAGAGUCAAGCAGAAGCAUACCCAUUCCAUUCCUAGUUUGGGUAGUGGCUAACAAAUGGAAGGCAAUCUGCUACAAGU